rnacentral:rRNA from 1 species
GUUUGAUCCUGGCUCAGAGUGAACGCUGGCGGCGUGCCUAAUACAUGCAAGUCGAACGCGAAAGUCCUUCGGGAUGAGUAAAGUGGCGCACGGGUGAGUAAUGGUUGAGAACAUGCCCUGAGGUGGGGAAUAACAGUUGGAAACGACUGCUAAUACCGCAUGGUAUCGCAAGAUUAAAGGUGGGGACCGCAAGGCCUACCGCCACAGGAUUGGCUCAACUCCCAUUAGCUAGUUGGUAGGGUAAUGGCCUACCAAGGCAACGAUGGGUAUGUGGUCUUAGAGGAUGAUCACACACACUGGAACUGAGACACGGUCCAGACUCCUACGGGAGGCAGCAGUAGGGAAUAUUGCACAAUGGAGGAAACUCUGAUGCAGCAACGCCGCGUGAGUGAAGAAGGCCCUUGGGUCGUAAAGCUCUUUAGCCUGGAAAGAAGUGCCAUCCCGUCAAUAAUAGGGUGGUGUGACGGUACCAGGAGAAUAAGGACCGGCUAAUUUCGUGCCAGCAGCCGCGGUAAUACGAAAGGUCCAAGCGUUACUCGGAAUUACUGGGCGUAAAGCGCGCGUAGGCGGCUUUGUAUGUCGAUUGUGAAAGCCCCGGGCUCAACCUGGGAACUGCAGUCGAAACUGCAAAGCUUGAAUGUUGGAGAGGUUGGGGGAAUACCUAGUGGAGAAGUGAAAUUCGUAGAGAUUAGGUGGAACACCAGAGGCGAAGGCGCCUGACUGGCCAAACAUUGACGCUGAGGCGCGAAAGCGUGGGUAGCAAACAGGAUUAGAUACCCUGGUAGUCCACGCCGUAAACUAUGGACACUCGCCGUUCGAAGCAUUAACCCUUUGAGUGGCAAAGCUAACGCAUUAAGUGUCCCGCCUGGGAAGUACGGUCGCAAGACUAAAACUCAAAGGAAUUGACG